rnacentral:rRNA from 1 species
GCCGCGGUAAUACAGAGGGUGCAAGCGUUAAUCGGAAUUACUGGGCGUAAAGCGUGCGUAGGUGGGCGUUUAAGUCGAAUGUGAAAUCCCCGGGCUCAACCUGGGAACUGCAUCCGAUACUGGGCGUCUAGAGUAUGAUAGAGGAAAGUGGAAUUCCCGGUGUAGCGGUGAAAUGCGUAGAUAUCGGGAGGAACAUCAGUGGCGAAGGCGACUUUCUGGAUCAAUACUGACACUGAGGCACGAAAGCGUGGGGAGCAAACAG